UGCUGAUUGACGGACCUCAUUUCUGGGUCA
rnacentral:piRNA from 1 species